UGGUAGGGGCAGAGGGAAUUCCCGGUGUAGCGGUGAAAUGCGUAGAUAUCGGGAAGAACACCAGUGGCGAAGGCGCUCUGCUGGGCCAUUACUGACGCUCAUGGACGAAAGCCAGGGGAGCGAAAGGGAUUAGAUACCCCUGUAGUCCUGGCCGUAAACGAUGAACACUAGGUGUCGGGGGAAUCGACCCCUUCGGUGUCGUAGCCAACGCGUUAAGUGUUCCGCCUGGGGAGUACGCACGCAAGUGUGAAACUCAAAGGAAUUGACGGGGGCCCGCACAAGCGGUGGAGUAUGUGGUUUAAUUCGAUGCAACGCGAAGAACCUUACCAGGGUUUGACAUCCUGCGAAUCUCUUGGAAACGAGAGAGUGCCUUCGGGAGCGCAGUGACAGGUGGUGCAUGGCUGUCGUCAGCUCGUGUCGUGAGAUGUUGGGUUAAGUCCCGCAACGAGCGCAACCCACGUCUUUAGUUGCCAGCAUUUAGUUGGGCACUCUAGAGAGACCGCCGGUGAUAAACCGGAGGAAGGUGUGGAUGACGUCAAGUCAUCAUGCCCCUUACAUCCUGGGCUACACACGUACUACAAUGCUACGGACAAAGGGCAGCAAGUUCGCGAGGACAAGCAAAUCCCAUAAACCGUGGCUCAGUUCAGAUCGUAGGCUGCAACUCGCCUACGUGAAGGAGGAAUCGCUAGUAAUCGCAGGUCAGCAUACUGCGGUGAAUACGUUCCCGGGCCUUGUACACACCGCCCGUCACACCAUGGAAGUUGGCCACGCCCGAAGCCGUUACUCCAACCCUUGUGGAGGAGGACGUCGAAGGUGGGGCUGAUGACUGGGGUGAAGUCGUAACAAGGUAGCCGUACCGGAAGGUGCG
rnacentral:rRNA from 1 species